rnacentral:rRNA from 1 species
UACGUAGGGUGCAAGCGUUAAUCGGAAUUACUGGGCGUAAAGCGUGCGCAGGCGGUUCGCUAAGCCAGAUGUGAAAUCCCCGGGCUUAACCUGGGAACUGCAUUGGAUACUGGCAGGCUAGAGUGCGGUAGAGGAUGGCGGAAUUCCCGGUGUAGCAGUGAAAUGCGUAGAGAUCGGGAGGAACAUCUGUGGCGAAGGCGGCCAUCUGGACCAGCACUGACACUGAGGCACGAAAGCGUGGGGAGCAAACAGG